GACAGAGGGUGCAAACGUUGUUCGGAUUUACUGGGCGUAAAGCGCGUGUAGGCGGCUUUGCAAGUCGGAUGUGAAAUCCCACGGCUCAACCGUGGAAGUGCAUCCGAAACUGCAUCGCUGGAGUCUCGGAGAGGAAGGUGGAAUGCUUGGUGUAGAGGUGAAAUUCGUAGAUAUCGGGAGGAACACCGGUGGCGAAGGCGGCGACCUGGGUAGAUACGUGACGGCUGAGGUGCGAAAGCGUGGGGAGCAAACAGG
rnacentral:rRNA from 1 species